rnacentral:rRNA from 1 species
AGAGUUUGAUCCUGGCUCAGAAUGAACGCUGGCGGCGUGCUUAACACAUGCAAGUCGUACGAGAACUCUUCUGCUUGCAGAAGAUAGUAAAGUGGCGUACGGGUGAGUAACGCGUGGGUAAUCUACCUCCGAAUUGGGGAUAACAUUGCGAAAGCGAUGCUAAUACCGGAUAAUAUCUUGAGGUCUUCGGCUUUCGAGAUCAAAGGUGGCCUCUACAUGUAAGCUACCGUUUGGAGAUGAGCUCGCGUACCAUUAGCUUGUUGGUAGGGUAACGGCCUACCAAGGCUACGAUGGUUAGCUGGUCUGAGAGGAUGAUCAGCCACACUGGAACUGACACACGGUCCAGACUCCUACGGGAGGCAGCAGUGAGGAAUUUUGCGCAAUGGGGGAAACCCUGACGCAGCAACGCCGCGUGAGUGAUGAAGGCUUUCGGGUCGUAAAGCUCUGUCAAGUGGGAAGAACUUGUCUGGUGCGAAUACCACCGGACACUGACGGUACCACUGAAGGAAGCACCGGCUAACUCCGUGCCAGCAGCCGCGGUAAUACGGGGGGUGCAAGCGUUAUUCGGAAUCAUUGGGCGUAAAGGGCGCGUAGGCGGCCUCUUAAGUCAGAUGUGAAAGCCCGGGGCUUAACCCCGGAAGUGCAUUUGAAACUGAGAAGCUUGAGUAUGGGAGAGGGAAGUGGAAUUCCUGGUGUAGAGGUGAAAUUCGUAGAUAUCAGGAGGAACACCGGUGGCGAAGGCGACUUCCUGGACCAAUACUGACGCUGAGGCGCGAAGGCGUGGGUAGCAAACAGGAUUAGAUACCCUGGUAGUCCACGCAGUAAACGUUGAACACUAGGUGUAGCGGGUAUUGACCCCUGCUGUGCCGCAGUUAACGCAUUAAGUGUUCCGCCUGGGAAGUACGGCCGCAAGGUUAAAACUCAAAGGAAUUGACGGGGGCCCGCACAAGCGGUGGAGCAUGUGGUUUAAUUCGACGCAACGCGAAGAACCUUACCUGGGUUUGACAUCCCGAGAAGUCUCUUGAAAGAGAGAUGUGCCCUUCGGGGAAUUCGGAGACAGGUGCUGCAUGGCUGUCGUCAGCUCGUGUCGUGAGAUGUUGGGUUAAGUCCCACAACGAGCGCAACCCUUAUCUUUAGUUACCAGCAUUCAGUUGGGGACUCUAAAGAUACUGCCCCGGUUAACGGGGAGGAAGGUGGGGAUGACGUCAAGUCCUCAUGGCCCUUAUACCCAGGGCUACACACGUGCUACAAU